rnacentral:rRNA from 1 species
CAAGCUCGGAGCGGACCGACGGGAGCUUGCUCCCUUAGGUCAGCGGCGGACGGGUGAGUAACACGUGGGUAACCUGCCUGUAAGACUGGGAUAACUCCGGGAAACCGGGGCUAAUACCGGAUGCUUGAUUGAACCGCAUGGUUCAAUCAUAAAAGGUGGCUUUUAGCUACCACUUACAGAUGGACCCGCGGCGCAUUAGCUAGUUGGUGAGGUAACGGCUCACCAAGGCGACGAUGCGUAGCCGACCUGAGAGGGUGAUCGGCCACACUGGGACUGAGACACGGCCCAGACUCCUACGGGAGGCAGCAGUAGGGAAUCUUCCGCAAUGGACGAAAGUCUGACGGAGCAACGCCGCGUGAGUGAUGAAGGUUUUCGGAUCGUAAAACUCUGUUGUUAGGGAAGAACAAGUACCGUUCGAAUAGGGCGGCACCUUGACGGUACCUAACCAGAAAGCCACGGCUAACUACGUGCCAGCAGCCGCGGUAAUACGUAGGUGGCAAGCGUUGUCCGGAAUUAUUGGGCGUAAAGCGCGCGCAGGCGGUUUCUUAAGUCUGAUGUGAAAGCCCCCGGCUCAACCGGGGAGGGUCAUUGGAAACUGGGGAACUUGAGUGCAGAAGAGGAGAGUGGAAUUCCACGUGUAGCGGUGAAAUGCGUAGAGAUGUGGAGGAACACCAGUGGCGAAGGCGACUCUCUGGUCUGUAACUGACGCUGAGGCGCGAAAGCGUGGGGAGCGAACAGGAUUAGAUACCCUGGUAGUCCACGCCGUAAACGAUGAGUGCUAAGUGUUAGAGGGUUUCCGCCCUUUAGUGCUGCAGCAAACGCAUUAAGCACUCCGCCUGGGGAGUACGGUCGCAAGACUGAAACUCAAAGGAAUUGACGGGGGCCCGCACAAGCGGUGGAGCAUGUGGUUUAAUUCGAAGCAACGCGAGAACCUUACCAGGUCGUGACAUCUCUGACACCCUAGAGAUAGGGCUCCCCUUCGGGGGCAGAGUGACAGUGUGCAUGAUUGUCGUCAGCUCGUGUCGUGGAUGUGGGUAGUCCCGCACGAGCGCACCCUGAUCUAGUGCAGCAUCAGUUGGGCACUCUAGGUGACUGCGGUGAAGACGGAGGAGGUGGGAUGACGUCAAUCAUCAUGGCCUUAGGACUGGCUACACGUGUUCUCAAUGCGACAGGCAGCAACCCGGAGCCUAGGCGAAGUC